GUCGAGCGGUAGCACAGAGAGCUUGCUCUCGGGUGACGAGCGGCGGACGGGUGAGUAAUGUCUGGGAAACUGCCUGAUGGAGGGGGAUAACUACUGGAAACGGUAGCUAAUACCGCAUAACGUCGCAAGACCAAAGUGGGGGACCUUCGGGCCUCAUGCCAUCAGAUGUGCCCAGAUGGGAUUAGCUAGUAGGUGGGGUAACGGCUCACCUAGGCGACGAUCCCUAGCUGGUCUGAGAGGAUGACCAGCCACACUGGAACUGAGACACGGUCCAGACUCCUACGGGAGGCAGCAGUGGGGAAUAUUGCACAAUGGGCGCAAGCCUGAUGCAGCCAUGCCGCGUGUGUGAAGAAGGCCUUCGGGUUGUAAAGCACUUUCAGCGGGGAGGAAGGCGUUAAGGUUAAUAACCUUGGUCGAUUGACGUUACCCGCAGAAGGAAGCACCGGCUAAAUCCCGUGCCAGCAGCCGCGGUAAUACGGAGGGUGCAAGCGUUAAUCGGAAUUACUGGGCGUAAAGCGCACGCAGGCGGUCUGUCAAGUCGGAUGUGAAAUCCCCGGGCUCAACCUGGGAACUGCAUUCGAAACUGGCAGGCUAGAGUCUUGUAGAGGGGGGUAGAAUUCCAGGUGUAGCGGUGAAAUGCGUAGAGAUCUGGAGGAAUACCGGUGGCGAAGGCGGCCCCCUGGACAAAGACUGACGCUCAGGUGCGAAAGCGUGGGGAGCAAACAGGAUUAGAUACCCUGGUAGUCCACGCCGUAAACGAUGUCGAUUUGGAGGUUGUGCCCUUGAGGCGUGGCUUCCGGAGCUAACGCGUUAAAUCGACCGCCUGGGGAGUACGGCCGCAAGGUUAAAACUCAAAUGAAUUGACGGAGGCCCGCCACAAGCGGUGGAGCAUGUGGUUUAAUUCGAUGCAACGCGAAGAACCUUACCUGGUCUUGACAUCCACAGAACUUUCCAGAGAUGGAUUGGUGCCUUCGGGAACUGUGAGACAGGUGCUGCAUGGCUGUCGUCAGCUCGUGUUGUGAAAUGUUGGGUUAAGUCCCGCAACGAGCGCAACCCUUAUCCUUUGUUGCCAGCGGUUCGGCCGGGAACUCAAAGGAGACUGCCAGUGAUAAACUGGAGGAAGGUGGGGAUGACGUCAAGUCAUCAUGGCCCUUACGACCAGGGCUACACACGUGCUACAAUGGCAUAUACAAAGAGAAGCGACCUCGCGAGAGCAAGCGGACCUCAUAAAGUAUGUCGUAGUCCGGAUUGGAGUCUGCAACUCGACUCCAUGAAGUCGGAAUCGCUAGUAAUCGUAGAUCAGAAUGCUACGGUGAAUACGUUCCCGGGCCUUGUACACACCGCCCGUCACACCAUGGGAGUGGGUUGCAAAAGAAGUAGGUAGCUUAACCUUCGGGAGGGCGC
rnacentral:rRNA from 1 species